rnacentral:rRNA from 1 species
UACGUAGGGUGCAAGCGUUAAUCGGAACUACUGGGCGUAAAGCGUGCGCAGGCGGUUUUGUAAGUCUGACGUGAAAUCCCCGGGCUUAACCUGGGAAUUGCGUUGGAGACUGCAAGGCUGGAGUCUGGCAGAGGGGGGUAGAAUUCCACGUGUAGCAGUGAAAUGCGUAGAGAUGUGGAGGAACACCGAUGGCGAAGGCAGCCCCCUGGGUCAAGAUUGACGCUCAUGCACGAAAGCGUGGGGAGCAAACAGG